AUUGAACGCUGGCGGCAUGCUUUACACAUGCAAGUCGAACGGUAACAGGCCUUCGGGUGCUGACGAGUGGCGAACGGGUGAGUAAUGCAUCGGAACGUGCCCAGAGGUGGGGGAUAACGCAGCGAAAGCUGUGCUAAUACCGCAUGUGAUCUGAGGAUGAAAGCGGGGGACCAGGCAGCAAUGUUUGGCCUCGCGCCUUUGGAGCGGCCGAUGUCAGAUUAGGUAGUUGGUGGGGUAAAGGCCUACCAAGCCGACGAUCUGUAGCUGGUCUGAGAGGACGACCAGCCACACUGGGACUGAGACACGGCCCAGACUCCUACGGGAGGCAGCAGUGGGGAAUUUUGGACAAUGGGCGCGAGCCUGAUCCAGCAAUGCCGCGUGCGGGAAGAAGGCCUUCGGGUUGUAAACCGCUUUUGUACGGAACGAAAAGGCUCUGGCUAAUACCUGGGGCUGAUGACGGUACCGUAAGAAUAAGCACCGGCUAACUACGUG
rnacentral:rRNA from 1 species